UACGUAGGUGGCAAGCGUUAUCCGGAAUUAUUGGGCGUAAAGCGCGCGUAGGCGGUUUUUUAAGUCUGAUGUGAAAGCCCACGGCUCAACCGUGGAGGGUCAUUGGAAACUGAAAAACUUGAGUGCAGAAGAGGAAAGUGGAAUUCCAUGUGUAGCGGUGAAAUGCGCAGAGAUAUGGAGGAACACCAGUGGCGAAGGCGACUUUCUGGUCUGUAACUGACGCUGAUGUGCGAAAGCGUGGGGAUCAAACAGGAUUAGAUACCCUGGUAGCCCACGCCGUAAACGAUGAGUGCUAAGUGUUAGGGGGUUUCCGCCCCUUAGUGCUGCAGCUAACGCAUUAAGCACUCCGCCUGGGGAGUACGGCCGCAAGGCUUAAACUCAAAGGAAUUGACGGGGACCCGCACAAGCGGUGGAGCAUGUGGUUUAAUUCGAAGCAACGCGAAGAACCUUACCAAAUCUUGACGUCCUUUGACCGCUCUAGAGAUAGAGUCUUCCCCUUCGGGGGACAAAGUGACAGGUGGUGCAUGGUUGUCGUCAGCUCGUGUCGUGAGAUGUUGGGUUAAGUCCCGCAACGAGCGCAACCCUUAAGCUUAGUUGCCAUCAUUCAGUUGGGCACUCUAAGUUGACUGCCGGUGACAAACCGGAGGAAGGUGGGGAUGACGUCAAAUCAUCAUGCCCCUUAUGAUUUGGGCUACACACGUGCUACAAUGGACAAUACAAAGGGCAGCGAAACCGCGAGGUCAAGCAAAUCCCAUAAAGUUGUUCUCAGUUCGGAUUGUAGUCUGCAACUCGACUACAUGAAGCUGGAAUCGCUAGUAAUCGUAGAUCAGCAUGCUACGG
rnacentral:rRNA from 1 species